AACGCGAAGAACCUUACCAGGUCUUGACAUCGAGUGACGAGCUCAGAGAUGAGCUUUCCUUUCGAGGCACAAAGACAGGUGGUGCAUGGUUGUCGUCAGCUCGUGUCGUGAGAUGUUGGGUUAAGUCCCGCAACGAGCGCAACCCUUGUCCUUAGUAGCCAGCGGUUCGGCCGGGCGCUCUGGGGAGACUGCCGGAGAUAAUCCGGAGGAAGGUGGGGAUGAUGUCAAAUCAUCAUGCCCCUUAUGUCCUGGGCUACACACGUGUUACAAUGGCCGGUACAACGAGCCGCCAACUCGCGAGAGUGAGCAAAUCUCUAAAGGCCGGUCUCAGUUCGGAUUGGACUCUGCAACUCGAGUCCAUGAGGUCGGAAUCGCUAGUAAACGCAGAUCAGCAUGCUGCGGUGAAUACGUUCCCGGGUCUUGUACACACCGA
rnacentral:rRNA from 1 species